AGAGUUUGAUCAUGGCUCAGGAUGAACGCUAGCUACAGGCUUAACACAUGCAAGUCGAGGGGCAGCAUGAACUUAGCUUGCUAAGUUUGAUGGCGACCGGCGCACGGGUGAGUAACACGUAUCCAACCUGCCGAUGACUCGGGGAUAGCCUUUCGAAAGAAAGAUUAAUACCCGAUGGCAUAGUUCUUCCGCAUGGUAGAACUAUUAAAGAACUUCGGUCAUCGAUGGGGAUGCGUUCCAUUAGGUUGUUGGCGGGGUAACGGCCACCAAGCCUUCGAUGGAUAGGGGGUUCUGGAGAGGAAGGUCCCCCANAUUGGAACUGAGACACGGUCCAAACUCCUACGGGAGCA
rnacentral:rRNA from 1 species